GGAAAAAAAUCCAGAAAAUGUAAUAAAGCGCAUCAUUAUUACGUCUGUCUACCGAUAUAUCACGUUUUCACCAACUGAAAGGCAAAGCUUCGCAAUAAUGGCGUCUAUGCAGAUCAUCAUGUCACCCCCUGAGUCUUCGGUGUAUCUGCCCUAUAACAUAUGGAGUAUUUUAUUCCAGAAAAACACCUUGGAAGAAAAUAACACACUUUUCGUAUUUUGUAUGAUAGUGGAGUAAAGAAUAAUAAAGCAGGGAAAACAAA